UUAUGUAUAGUUAUCAAGUCUUUAAGAGGUAGAGUCGAGCAUCAAGAAGUUAAUGGUAUUGAAAAUUAUCAAAUUGGAGCCACAACGAGGAAACUAGAUCAAAUGGAAGAAAAAAAUGCAAAAAUUACAAAGUUGCUGUUAGACAGAAGGCAAGCAGCAUAAUUGUGUAACAAUGCUACAAAAAUGUGCCAAGAGAGCCGCUGCUCUCCAACCUGCUACAAAGUAGAUUUUUUUUCGAUUUCUAGGCCAAUUCCUCUUGAGCUUUCAGGUCUAAUCUCAUUCUCUUCUACUCUUCACCUUUCCUAUGUAAUUCUUCAUUGGGUACAUUUGAAAAUAUUCCGUAUCUUUUAUAUGAUAAGGCAUAUCUACUUUACAAUUGAACUUGAAACUAAUGUUAUUGCACAUUCAAAUGCUAGAUGUUGAGCUUGGGUUGCACGAAGCUAAAUGCUUAUGUGGUUUUGGUUGAAGGAGUACGGAUCUAGUAGUCUUGAGUGGAUCAUUAGAGAUCGUGAUAGAAGAGGGAUUCUUAGUGGUUCUACUUUUACUACGAAGUGGUGGGACAUUAGCUUUACUAGAAGUUGAAGUCUUCCUGGAAGGUUUGACUGUGGUGCAAUGUGAAUGAGCUUAAAUCAACCACCUGUCAAUUGUGAUGGAGGUUGAUGGGUUAGAGAUGAUUAAGUUUUUGGGUAGGAAGGAUACGUCUUUUGUUUAGUUAAGUUUCUUGGUUGAGGAUAUUUUGUAAUUUAGGUGAUUAAUAUCUUCCUUUUCUAUCACAUCUCCAUAGAGGAAAACAAAACAGUUCAUGUCUUAGCAAUUUUAUCUUUCUUUUAUGGUGAUUCUUUGAUCUUCUCUCCCUCAUUUGUGAUGAAAUGAUCAUUAAUAGUUGGUACGCG
rnacentral:lncRNA from 1 species